AGACACGGCCCAGACUCCUACGGGAGGCAGCAGUAGGGAAUCUUCCGCAAUGGACGAAAGUCUGACGGAGCAACGCCGCGUGAACGAUGAAGGCCUUCGGGUCGUAAAGUUCUGUUGUUAGGGAAGAACAAGUACCAGAGUAACUGCUGGUACCUUGACGGUACCUAACCCGAAAGCCACGGCUAACUACGUGCCAGCAGCCGCGGUAAUACGUAGGUGGCAAGCGUUGUCCGGAAUUAUUGGGCGUAAAGCGCUCGCAGGCGGUUUCUUAAGUCUGAUGUGAAAGCCCACGGCUCAACCGUGGAGGGUCAUUGGAAACUGGGGAACUUGAGUGCAGAAGAGGAGAGUGGAAUUCCACGUGUAGCGGUGAAAUGCGUAGAGAUGUGGAGGAACACCAGUGGCGAAGGCGACUCUCUGGUCUGUAACUGACGCUGAGGAGCGAAAGCGUGGGGAGCGAACAGGAUUAGAUACCCUGGUAGUCCACGCCGUAAAC
rnacentral:rRNA from 1 species